GGCCCUGUGGCUUAGUUGGUUAAAGCGCCUGUCUAGUAAACAGGAGAUCCUGGGUUCAAAUCCCAGUGGGGCCU
rnacentral:tRNA from 2 species